AAUAUAUUGACUUUCUUCUUCCCUAACAUUUUUCCCUAAAUCAAUUUUGGCAUUAGGUUGAUAAAAGAUGUUUUUACGUUCUUCUUCAACACUUCAACGAGGAGAUUUUGACAUCAUCUACUUCAACACUACAUGGACUUUGGGUUUUGAAGUGUUACGUUUCUACUUCUGUUUACUUCAGCCAAAAUCUCUCUCAUUACAACACCCAUUUCAGUUGCAGGAAGAGCGUGCAAAAAAGGAGGGUGAGGAAGAAAUUAGACUUAUUGAAGAAGCAUGUAUACAACACAUCAUCUUCAAAUGAGCAAUCUCAAGAAGACAAUCAAGCUUAUGAGAAUGAAAGUGGUGAUGACUCUAAUAGCAUAAAUAUAAGUGAUACUAACCAUGAUAAUGUGAAUGAAAUUGACUAUAAUGAGGAUUUGAGAUAGUUGAUAGUACUAUUUAGAAUUCAAAUUUGAGUUGUAUUUUGUUUUUGUCCAUUUAAGAAUCAAACACUAUUGAUCCGGAUGUUAUGGAUUAUGUUUUUUGUUGGAUGAAAAGGACUAUAAUGUGAAUUGUAUUUUUUGUUGGUU